rnacentral:ncRNA from 1 species
CAAAAGGCGAUGAAGGAGUCCGUAACCCCUGAGGAUUUUCAGAGAGUCGGUGUGAGGUGAAAACCGGCAAUGCUCAUUGGUUUAAAUCUCUCCGGAGCUGUUCGGGUGAAAGAUGACUAGCCUGAACCGGGCGAUACCCGUUAAUCAUCAUGGAGUGAUUGUGCUUGCAAUAAGCAGGGUGGUACCGCGGAAAUUUUUUCGUCCCUAUA